AGAUUUACAUGCUAAUACUGCCGCUGGUCUUAAUGCAUUAUUGCAAAUUACAUUUUGGCCAGCGUUGUCAUGUCUACUCCUGCGCUGGAAUACUAAUCACCGGUCCUGGCAACUCAUUACGCACACCUGCGCCUCAUUAGGCACACCUYGACUUCAUCACCUCCCUGACUACUUCCCCUGUAUAUAGCCCUCCAUUGUCAUCACUCACCAGGCAAUAUUGUUCAUGUUUCCAUAUUUUUAAGCUUCUCUUUUUGUAUUGUUCCAUGUGCUUUGUUAAACUAACUUCACUUGCUUCCGGACUCCCUGUGUCUACGUUACAAACGUAUUUCAGCUUGGGGCUGCAUGUCCAUUUUCUUUAGGAAAAGUGACUUCUGUUUGGACAUUCUCAAGCAAUCGAGAAACUAAGUUGCUACAGUAUGUUAGCAAACGAUGAUAUUUAAGUCAAUGCUUUGAUGUUGGGUGUCUCUUUCUCUCCACAGUACUCUGCUCAGCCCAGCAUUCAGAACAGCCAAAGACUCGGCAGGUGAAAGGCAUCGUGGGAACUUUUCUCUCUUUUCCAGAGAGGGUGUUGACAUCUGGCAAUUUGCUUUAUGGAGACCUUGGCAAUAUUGCACAGGUGUACCCUGGUAAACAAAGUAAUACAAACCUUGAGAAGAGAUUUAAAUACCGCCUUCACUGGAACAAUGUUACUGGAGUCUUCACUUUGACAGACCUACAAAUAGAUGAUUCUGGGGUUUACACUGUGGAGAAUGCAGAUGCUGAAGAGAAGAUGACACAUACAUUUCAGCUGACUGUGUACUAUAUUCUGUCCAAACCUCAGAUGACGGUCCAUGACAACAUCUCCUGUAGCGUGGUGUGUUCUGUGGAGAACGGGAAAGAGGUGACCCUGUCCUGGUACAGAGGAGGGGAGUUACUCAAACCAGACCAGCAGCCCUGACCUCAACAUCACCCUCUCUCUACCUCUCAAGGUGGAUGUACAGACCAGAGACUCUUACAGAUGUGAGGCUGCCAACCCAGUCAGCAAGGAGAAUGCUGCUGUUCCACAUUCCUGUAUAGAGAGUGAUCCCUCCAAGGUGGACAGAUGGUGAUGAAAGGACUCGAGGUUCUCAUAUUUUUGCUGUAAUCAGCGUUUUGGUCUGCUUUUUCUGUCUGUAAAAAAAGCCCAUUUGUGGGAAAUUCAUUCUGAUUGUCUGGGCCUGGCUCCCGCGUGGGUGGUCUUAUGCCCUCCCUGGCCCACGAAUUGCUGCGCCCUUGCCCAGUCAUGUGAAAUCCAUAGAUUAGAGRGUAAUGAAUUUAUUUAAAUUGAUUGUCCUUUAAUGAACUGUAAUUCAGUAAAAUCUUUGAAAUUGUUGCAUUUAUAUUUUUCAGUAUAGUAAUGCCUUUGAUCUUCCCGUGUCUUUUACAGUAUUUGCCAAGUCAGUGGAAUUUUAAGCUUGGCUUCAUGGUUCCUCCCACUAGAUUUAGGAAUGGUUCUAGAUGUGUUGACUGUUGAGUUACUUCCUGCAGAACAAUGAGAAUAGACAAGAGAGCAUCAGACUUGUCUUGUUUCCUUCCUCUGGUGCAAAGUAUCUAAUAAUGUAACAUAUGAUCAGUUUUUAACUUUUUUGUUGCUUUCCUACACCCCCCUCUUUCCUUGUCCCUCUCAAUCCUUUCCUCCCUCCCUGUCUAGGAGGAGUGAACAGGUAUACAAGGACUGGAGUCACUUAGACAACCCUAACCUGACAGUUUAUGAUACACUCCAGUUACAUCGCAUGGCUGCCAGCGAGGAUGUUGACACUGCAUGAAGGAACAAAACAGGAAGGUUCUGAGAGGGUGACAUGAUAAUUCUCAUCCAAGAGAAGGCGUUACAUCCUAAAGUGGACGUUGAGACAGAAUUAUAGUAAAUAUUAGUUUAGGAAACCUAAUGGAGUCACAGUUGUUAUUGGAGAGAAUUCCCAUUUAACCAUUGCGCUUUUAUAAUUUCAGACUUCCUGUGUUGGMCAUUCUCACUUGUCUUUUGUUGAAUUGGGGCCUCGGUGAACAUCACRGAUACAGACAAAUUCAAUAGCUUUGCCMAGGGUUAUUAGUAGGGUGAUCCCUCUUUUCAAGUACCCGUUGUCCCAAUGUAUAGGUUAAAACAAAUGGAACCUCRUUUAAAUACAAUUCACUAGUGUGUUUGCUAUGCUAUUACUGGGCCAAAGCUUCUUUUCAGUAUUGUCUGUUCUGUUUAACAUGUAGGUMCCUCCCCUGUAUCUUUUAAUAGCUUGUCAUUGUUUAGCUUGCCAGUGGAUAGCAGCGGUGUAUAUAAAAAGCAGAUGUUUGGUGAGAAAGGCUGUUAGGCUACGUUGGAAACAAAAAGUCCACAAGUUUAUAUUUUCACCAUGUAGAUUCUAUUGAAACAUUUUUGAGUGGUCGAUCUUGACUUGCAUUUUGACAUGAUUAAGUGUAGUUCAGAUCUUGCUUUGACGACAAGUGUGUUCAUGCAGUUUGAAUGUACAAAAUCAACUUUAGUUUAUUAUGAUGGACCAUUUAUUGCUUGUCUUUAGCUACAUACUGUGUAGAUAAUCUCUUAAGAAUACAAUCAGUGGGGCAGUGGUCUAAGGCACUGCAUCGCAGUGCUAGCUUUGCCACUAGAGAUCCUGGUUCGAGUCCAGUCUCUGUCGAGACCCAUGGGGAGGUGCACAAUUGGCCCAGUGUUAGGGGAGGGUUACAAUCACUCAAUACUGCACACUCCUGCAGACACCUUCUA